rnacentral:rRNA from 1 species
UAGGGAAUCUUCGGCAAUGGACGGAAGUCUGACCGAGCAACGCCGCGGGAGUGAAGAAGGUUUUCGGAUCGUAAAGCUCUGUUGUUAGAGAAGAACGUUGGUAGGAGUGGAAAAUCUACCAAGUGACGGUAACUAACCAGAAAGGGACGGCUAACUACGUGCCAGCAGCCGCGGUAAUACGUAGGUCCCGAGCGUUGUCCGGAUUUAUUGGGCGUAAAGCGAGCGCAGGCGGUUCUUUAAGUCUGAAGUUAAAGGCAGUGGCUUCACGAUUGUACGCUUUGGAAACGGUAGGAUUGGAGUGCAGAAGAGGAGGGUGGAAUUCCAUGUGUAGCGGUGAAAGGCGUAGAUAUAUGGAGGACCACCGGUGGCGAAGCCGGCUCUCUGAUCUGUAACGGACGCGGAGGCUGGAAGGCGUGGGGAGCAAACAGG